rnacentral:rRNA from 1 species
UAACGAAUAUUGGGCAAUGGGCGAAAGCCUGACCCAGCAAUGCCGCGUGCAGGACGAAGUCCUUCGGGAUGUAAACUGCUGUCAGGGGUCCGCAAGCGAAGGGGUCCAACAGGCCCUGGAGUUGAGCAGCCCCAGAGGAAGCCUCGACUAACUCUGUGCCAGCAGUCGCGGUAAGACAGAGGAGGCAAGCGUUGUUCGGAAUCACUGGGCUUAAAGCGCGUGUAGGCGGCUUAGAAAGUGUCGUGUGAAAUCCCGCGGCUCAACCGCGGAACUGCACGGCAAACUACUUGGCUUGAGGUCGGUAGAGGUGCCUGGAACUCUAGGUGGAGCGGUGAAAUGCGUAGAUAUCUAGAGGAACACCAGUGGCGAAGGCGGCCACCUGGCCGGCAACUGACGCUGAGGUGCGAAAGCGUGGGGAUCAAACA